GAUGAACGCUGGCGGCGUGCCUAAUACAUGCAAGUCGAGCGAACAGAUAAGGAGCUUGCUCCUUUGACGUUAGCGGCGGACGGGUGAGUAACACGUGGGUAACCUACCUAUAAGACUGGGAUAACUUCGGGAAACCGGAGCUAAUACCGGAUAACAUUUGGAACCGCAUGGUUCUAAAGUGAAAGAUGGUUUUGCUAUCACUUAUAGAUGGACCCGCGCCGUAUUAGCUAGUUGGUAAGGUAACGGCUUACCAAGGCAACGAUACGUAGCCGACCUGAGAGGGUGAUCGGCCACACUGGAACUGAGCCACGGUCCAGACUCCUACGGGAGGCAGCAGUAGGGAAUCUUCCGCAAAGGGCGAAAGCCUGACGGAGCAACGCCGCGUGAGUGAUGAAGGGUUUCGGCUCGUAAAACUCUGUUAUUAGGGAAGAACAAAUGUGUAAGUAACUGUGCACGUCUUGACGGUACCUAAUCAGAAAGCCACGGCUAACUACGUG
rnacentral:rRNA from 1 species